ACAGACUUUGGGCUGUUCUGUUUCUUUUCUUCCCCUUUUACUUCCAAGUCUGUCCUCAACAUAAUUGCCAGAAAACAGUCCUGAUGAAGUUACAUGACUGCUUUAAAAUCCCUGGCUGCCAGUUUUUUGUUGUUUUUUUUUAUAGAGUUAAGUUUAGGCAUGACAACAUGUAAUUUCCUUUGUGAUGUGGAAGAUUGAGAUAUUUGAAAUGUAGUAAGUUUCUGUCCCUGAUGUUAUGGGUAUAAUAAAAAGGAAAAAAGACAUUAGAUAAGCAUUUGACUUGGGUCACUGACUAUGACAUGGUUGCUGUUUUUAAGGAUCCUCCUGUUUCCUUAGUGAAAUACACAUACAACAGAAGGACAUGUGCUUGAAUGUUCUAAUGUGUGCUGUCACAGUUUGGUGAACUCAAUGAUUCAUUUAUGUCAUAAUUGUUGAGGGAAGUCAUCACGGAACAAGUUGAGUAUGAGGUAGACAUGAGUAUAUUUAAGUGGUUGAAAAGGAAAAGUUCAGCUUGUGCAGAGACCAAGCAGGGAUGGGGAAUGGAAUGGUCUCGCUAAGUUGUCCAGGCGGGACUCGGAACUUGUGAUCCUCCUCCCUCAGCCUCCCUCCGUGCUGAGAUUACAGGUGUGCACCACUGCACCUGGCUACUGAAGGCUAAGGGAAAGGCAGACAGAAGGUACCAGGAAGAAUGAACCAUUAUCCCCAGAACAAUAGCCCAUUGUAGAAAAAGAGAAGAGGGAUUUUGGUGAGCGAUCUCAUCCUAUGUGGUGGUUUCUAGGAUACAAACCAAGUUUGGAAACGUGGUGGGACCAGUAACAAAUGGAGUUCUCUGAGCCUUUGCUGGAACAGUUUGUGCUCUUCCAAACAGUAUGUGUUGGCCAGACAGGAGAUAGUGCUUGGUCCUAAAUUAAAAGAAUGGUGCCAGUC